rnacentral:rRNA from 1 species
AACUAUAACGGUCCUAAGGUAGCGAAAUUCCUUGUCAGGUAAGUUCUGACCCGCAUGAAAGGCGUAAUGAUUUGGGCACUGUCUCAACAGCCCGCCCGGCGAAAUUGUAGUACCGGUGAAGAUGCCGGUUACCCGCGACAAGACGGAAAGACCCCAUGGAGCUUUACUGUAGCCUAAUAUUGGGUUUCGAUGUUGCAUGCACAGGAUAGAUGGGACACUGGGAAACAAUCGCUUUGGCGGUUGCGGAGUGGCCGUUGGGAUACCAUCCUUGCGAUAUUGGAAUUCUAACCUGCGGCUCUGAAUCGAGUCGGGGGACAUUGUUAGGUGGGCAGUUUGACUGGGGCGGUCGCCUCCUAAAGAGUAACGGAGGCGUUCAAAGGUUCGCUCAGCUUGAACGGAAAUCAAGCAAAAGAGUGCAAACGCAGAAGCGAGCCUAACUGCGAGACUGACGGGUCGAGCAGUAACGAAAGUUGGAGUUAGUGAUCCGGUGGUAUGUGAGUGGAAAUGCCAUCGCUCAACGGAUAAAAGUUACCCUGGGGAUAACAGGCUGAUCUCCCCCAAGAGUCCACAUCGACGGGGAGGUUUGGCACCUCGAUGUCGGCUCAUCGCAUCCUGGGGCUGUAUUCGGUCCCAAGGGUUUGGCUGUUCGCCAAUUAAAGCGGUACGCGAGCUGGGUUCAGAACGUCGUGAGACAGUUCGGUCCCUAUCUGUCGUGGGCGCAGGAUAUUUGAUGGGAGCUGUCCCUAGUACGAGAGGACCGGGACGGACGUACCUCUGGCGCACCAGUUGUUCCGCCAGGAGCAUAGCUGGGCAACUACGUACGGAUCGGAUAAACGCUGAAAGCAUCUAAGCGUGAAGCCGACCCAAAGAUAAGAUAUCCCAUUGUUUUAAACAAGUAAGACCCCUUGAAGACUACAAGGUUGAUAGGCACGAUGUGUAAGUGGAGCGAUCCAUUCAGCAAGCGUGUACUAAUAGGUCGAGGGCUUGACCAC